rnacentral:rRNA from 1 species
CACGCCGUAAACGAUGCUCACUGGUUCUGUGCGAUAUAUUGUACGGGAUUAAGCGAAAGUAUUAAGUGAGCCACCUGGGGAGUACGUCGGCAACGAUGAAACUCAAAGGAAUUGACGGGG